CUUGAACUGAUUGCUGUUUUAGCUUUGCCCCAUUCAUGUAUUUGACCUUCUCUUUUUGUAAGCAAUGCAGCAGGACACUGGAGACCGCAGCGAUUUGCUGAUGCUUGUGUGUGGACGCCCAGCUGUGCCUCUACCCACAUCUCUGCUCCAAAUCAAAACAGCUCAGAGUACUUUUUAAUACCAAUGUGUAUAUAUCAGGCAUUAGAUCUACUUCUUCACCGCAGCAAUUUUAUAUUUGAACAUGUUAUUAAGAGCUUUGUUGAUUCUGGGAAUCCAGCCAGACUACAUUCUGCUUCCUCACCACAGUGUGUUCAGACACAAGGCUCUGCAAAACCAGCAAGAAAUUACAAAAGCCUUCUCCUGCUAUGCCAUGCUGUGCUAUGUAUUUGUGUAAGGGAAAGAGGGAUGAAUUGGACAAAGUGGCAUAAACGACGACUGCUGCAAAGUUGUGCAAAGUCCUAAUUUGAAUAUGCAAUAAGGAAGUUGUUGGAAAAUUCUUGCUGCUUGUGUAAAGCUCCCCUUCAAUCUGUCUGAGACAAUGCAGACUGCCUUUGUUUUCCUUUUUGUGGGAAACGCUCUGAUUUGUGGCCACUGUGUGGUUCUGGAUAGCGCCUAAAGGAAGAGGCUGACCACACUGUGUACUGUAGUUUGCAGACCCAUCCAUUCAUCUCCUGCAGUGAAGCUUUGAAAGUCUCUGUCUAAUUAGUAAGUUUUGUACUAUCCACCAUAUUAUUACUCAAAAUAAAUAUUAGCAUGAUCAUUUUUGACUGCUAUGGAAUUACCA